UACCUGGUUGAUCCUGCCAGUAGUCAUAUGCUUGUCUCAAAGAUUAAGCCAUGCAUGUCUAAGUAUAAACAACUUUGUACUGUGAAACUGCGAAUGGCUCAUUAAAUCAGUUAUAGUUUAUUUGAUAGUACCUUACUACUUGGAUAACCGUAGUAAUUCUAGAGCUAAUACAUGCGAAAAGACCCGACUUUUUGGAAGGGUUGUAUUUAUUAGAUACAAAACCAAUGCGGACUAAACAUCCGGUAUUUUGGUGAUUCAUAAUAACUUUUGCGGAUCGCAUGGCCUUGCGCCGGCGAUGAAUCAUUCAAAUUUCUGCCCUAUCAACUUUCGAUGGUAAGGUAUUGGCCUACCAUGGUUACCACGGGUAACGGGGAAUUAGGGUUCGGUUCCGGAGAGGGAGCCUGAGAAAUGGCUACCACAUCCAAGGAAGGCAGCAGGCGCGCAAAUUACCCAAUCCUGAUACAGGGAGGUAGUGACAAUAAAUAACAAUGCAGGACCUUUACGGUUUUGUAAUUGGAAUGAGUACAAUUUAAAUCUCUUAACGAGAACCAAUUGGAGGGCAAGUCUGGUGCCAGCAGCCGCGGUAAUUCCAGCUCCAAUAGCGUAUAUUAAAGUUGUUGCAGUUGAAAAGCUCGUAGUUGAAUUUGAGGGUUUGUUUCAAGAUUGUUACUUUGGGGCCGAGUCUAACGAUGAGGUUUUGAGGUAUACGGUCAUACAAGCCUUUUUAAUGAGUUGCCGAGGGUCAAACCAGAGCCUCAUUAAGCUUUUUCUCAAGAACUUUAUGUGCUCUUCACUGAGAUGCAUAAUCAGGGCUUGAGACUUUUACUUUGAAAAAAUUAGAGUGUUCAAAGCAGGCAUUACAAGCUUGAAUACAUUAGCAUGGAAUAAUGGAAUAGGACUUUGGUCUUAUUUUGUUGGUUUCUUUGACCAGAGUAAUGAUUAAUAGGGACAGUUGGGGGCAUUAGUAUUUAAUUGUCAGAGGUGAAAUUCUUGGAUUUAUGAAAGACUAACUUCUGCGAAAGCAUUUGCCAAGGAUGUUUUCAUUAAUCAAGAACGAAAGUUAGGGGAUCGAAGACGAUCAGAUACCGUCGUAGUCCUAACUAUAAACUAUGCCGACUAGGGAUCAGUGAGUGUUACAAAAAGACCUCAUUGGCACCUUAUGAGAAAUCAAAGUUUUUGGGUUCUGGGGGGAAUACGGACCGCAAGGCUGAAACUUAAAGGAAUUGACGGAAGGGCACACCAGGAGUGGAGCCUGCGGCUUAAUUUGACUCAACACGGGGAAACUCACCAGGUCCAGACUUUAUAAGGAUUGACAGAUUGAGAGCUCUUUCUUGAUUUAAAGGGAAGUGGUGCAUGGCCGUUCUUAGUUGGUGGAGUGAUUUGUCUGGUUAAUUCCGAUAACGAACGAGACCUUAUCCUGCUAAAUAGUUACGUGAUUCUCGAAUUAUGGACAACUUCUUAGAGGGACUAUCGGUGACUAACCGAUGGAAGUUUAAGGCAAUAACAGGUCUGUGAUGCCCUUAGAUGUUCUGGGCCGCACGCGCGCUACACUGACAAAGACAGCGAGUUUAGCUGGGGUUUGGCUGGUGGCCGUCAAAAGUCAUUGGUUAAAUCUUGCAUGUCCUGGGUCGGAAGGCUUGGGUAAUCUUGUGAAUCUUUGUCGUGAUGGGGAUAGAUCUUUGUAAUUAUCGAUCUUCAACGAGGAAUUCCUAGUAAGCGCGGUUCAUCAGAUCGCGUUGAUUACGUCCCUGCCCUUUGUACACACCGCCCGUCGCUACUACCGAUUGAAUGGUUUAGUGAGAUCUCGAGACUGGUUUAAAACACGGUCAAACGUGUUUUACGACUGGGAACUUGCUCAAACUUGAUCAUUUAGAGGAAGUAAAAGUCGUAACAAGGU
rnacentral:rRNA from 1 species